GUAAAGAUGACUGCAUGGACGUUCUGGCCAGUUGUGGGGUGGAUAAAUCACCAAUAUGUGCCUUUGCAGUUCCGUGUCAUUUUCAGUAGCCUCGUUGCAUUUUGCUGGGGAAUAUUUCUGAACCUUCGAGCAAGAUCUAUGACACUGCCCAAGGCUGCACUGCCCAAGAGUAACUGAACGAUUUGAAACCUUCCACGUGCUUGGAUUGAUUAAAUACUAUCACGUUCACAUUCCAUAUCAUAAUCUCAUUUUAAUCUUUAUGUAGCUUGAACCUUGUUCUGUUCAACCA